rnacentral:rRNA from 1 species
CAGGCCUAACACAUGCAAGUCGAACGCACCUUCGGGUGAGUGGCAGACGGGUGAGUAACACGUGGGAACGUGCCCUUCGGUUCGGAAUAACUCAGGGAAACUUGAGCUAAUACCGGAUACGCCCCCAGGGGGAAAGGUUUACUGCCGAAGGAUCGGCCCGCGUCUGAUUAGCUAGUUGGUGGGGUAAUGGCCUACCAAGGCGACGAUCAGUAGCUGGUCUGAGAGGAUGAUCAGCCACACUGGGACUGAGACACGGCCCAGACUCCUACGGGAGGCAGCAGUGGGGAAUAUUGGACAAUGGGCGAAAGCCUGAUCCAGCCAUGCCGCGUGAGUGAUGAAGGCCUUAGGGUUGUAAAGCUCUUUUACCCGGGAAGAUAAUGACGGUAACCGGAGAAGAAGCCCCGGCUAACUUCGUGCCAGCAGCCGCGGU